AGAGUUUGAUCCUGGCUCAGGAUGAACGCUAGCUACAGGCUUAACACAUGCAAGUCGAGGGGCAGCAUGGUCUUAGCUUGCUAAGGCCGAUGGCGACCGGCGCACGGGUGAGUAACACGUAUCCAACCUGCCGUCUACUCUUGGACAGCCUUCUGAAAGGAAGAUUAAUACAAGAUGGCAUCAUGAGUCCGCAUGUUCACAUGAUUAAAGGUAUUCCGGUAGACGAUGGGGAUGCGUUCCAUUAGAUAGUAGGCGGGGUAACGGCCCACCUAGUCUUCGAUGGAUAGGGGUUCUGAGAGGAAGGUCCCCCACAUUGGAACUGAGACACGGUCCAAACUCCUACGGGAGGCAGCAGUGAGGAAUAUUGGUCAAUGGGCGAGAGCCUGAACCAGCCAAGUAGCGUGAAGGAUGACUGCCCUAUGGGUUGUAAACUUCUUUUAUAAAGGAAUAAAGUCGGGUAUGCAUACCCGUUUGCAUGUACUUUAUGAAUAAGGAUCGGCUAACUCCGUGCCAGCAGCCGCGGUAAUACGGAGGAUCCGAGCGUUAUCCGGAUUUAUUGGGUUUAAAGGGAGCGUAGAUGGAUGUUUAAGUCAGUUGUGAAAGUUUGCGGCUCAACCGUAAAAUUGCAGUUGAUACUGGAUAUCUUGAGUGCAGUUGAGGCAGGCGGAAUUCGUGGUGUAGCGGUGAAAUGCUUAGAUAUCACGAAGAACUCCGAUUGCGAAGGCAGCACACUAAUCCGUAACUGACGUUCAUGCUCGAAAGUGUGGGUAUCAAACAGGAUUAGAUACCCUGGUAGUCCACACGGUAAACGAUGAAUACUCGCUGUUUGCGAUAUACGGCAAGCGGCCAAGCGAAAGCGUUAAGUAUUCCACCUGGGGAGUACGCCGGCAACGGUGAAACU
rnacentral:rRNA from 1 species